AGAGCGAACGCUGGCGGCAGGCUUAACACAUGCAAGUCGAGCGGGCGUAGCAAUACGUCAGCGGCAGACGGGUGAGUAACGCGUGGGAACGUACCUUUUGGUUCGGAACAACCCAGGGAAACUUGGGCUAAUACCGGAUAAGCCCUUACGGGGAAAGAUUUAUCGCCGAAAGAUCGGCCCGCGUCUGAUUAGCUAGUUGGUGAGGUAAUGGCUCACCAAGGCGACGAUCAGUAGCUGGUCUGAGAGGAUGAUCAGCCACAUUGGGACUGAGACACGGCCCAAACUCCUACGGGAGGCAGCAGUGGGGAAUAUUGGACAAUGGGCGCAAGCCUGAUCCAGCCAUGCCGCGUGAGUGAUGAAGGCCCUAGGGUUCGUAAACCCCUUUCAGCAGGGACGAAGCGAAAGUGACGGUACCUGCAGAAGAGCGCCGGCUAACUACGCGCCAGCAGCCGC
rnacentral:rRNA from 1 species